rnacentral:rRNA from 1 species
UGGGAACGUACCUCUUGGUUCGGAACAACCCAGGGAAACUUGGGCUAAUACCGGAUACGUCCGUAAGGAGAAAGAUUUAUCGCUGAAGGAUCGGCCCGCGUCUGAUUAGCUAGUUGGUGGGGUAAUGGCCCACCAAGGCUACGAUCAGUAGCUGGUCUGAGAGGAUGAUCAGCCACACUGGGACUGAGACACGGCCCAGACUCCUACGGGAGGCAG